rnacentral:rRNA from 1 species
GUGGGGAAUCUUCCGCAAUGGACGAAAGUCUGACGGAGCGACGCCGCGUGAGUGAAGAAGGCCUUCGGGUCGUAAAGCUCUGUCAUCAGGGACGAACGGCCGGUGGAGUGGAAAGCCACCGGAUUGACGGUACCUGAGAAGGAAGCCACGGCUAACUACGUGCCAGCAGCCGCGGUAAUACGUAGGUGGCAAGCGUUGUCCGGAAUUAUUGGGCGUAAAGCGCGCGCAGGUGGGAUCUUAAGUCCAUUUUGAAAGUUCGGAGCUCAACUCCGUGAUGGGAUGGAAACUGGGAUUCUUGAGUACCGGAGAGGAAAGCGGAAUUCCCCGUGUAGCGGUGAAAUGCGUAGAUAUGGGGAGGAACACCAGUGGCGAAGGCGGCUUUCUGGACGGUGUCUGACACUGAGGCGCGAAAGCUAGGGGAGCGAACGGGAUUAGAAACCCUAGUAGUCC